AAUAUUGCGCAAUGGAGGGAACUCUGACGCAGCGACGCCGCGUGAGCGAUGAAGGUCUUCGGAUCGUAAAGCUCUGUCCUUGGGGAAGAAGGUCUUCGGACUUGACGGUACCCAUGGAGGAAGCCCAGGCUAACUACGUGCCAGCAGCCGCGGUAAUACGUAGGGGGCGAGCGUUGUCCGGAAUUAUUGGGCGUAAAGGGUUCGCAGGCGGCCGAUUAAGUCAGAUGUGAAAUCCCACGGCUUAACCGUGGGACUGCAUUUGAAACUGGAGGGCUUGAGUGCAGGAGAGGAGAGUGGAAUUCCUAGUGUAGCGGUGAAAUGCGUAGAUAUUGGGAGGAACACCAGUGGCGAAGGCGACUACCUGGACGAAAACUGACGCUGAGGCACGAAAGCUAGGGGAGCAAACA
rnacentral:rRNA from 1 species